rnacentral:rRNA from 1 species
AAGUACUUUGAAGAGAGAGUAAACAGUGCGUGAACCGCUUAGAGGUAACGGGUGGAGUUGAACUGCAAUCUCUGAGAAUUCAGCUGGGGAAUUUUGCUUGAGCUUGGUCAAUUGGGCAGGGCCUCGAGGUAUGCUUAUCUGCAUGUUCUGAUCUUCGGAUCGGGAUGCGCGUUGCUCUUAUCAAGGGCUGUGCGCCUUGGGUGUCCGGCUGGCUCAUUCGCCAGUGCACUUUCUUGGAGUGAUCACCACGACCGGCGCUGCUGCUGGGCUGUUAUAGUUAAACCGGGCAUUCUUCGUUCAUGUGGCGUUGGGUGUUCGACACGGCAGGUAACUGGGUUCUUGCUUCGGCUUGUUUCUUGGUGUAUGCUGGCUUUAACGGUUCCAUGUGGUGUGUCGGAGACGGCGGCUUGUGGUGUGUGCAUGCGUGUCUAUCUGUUGGGGCAUUCUGGUUUGGUAGCUGUGUGCUUGUUCAAGCAGGCCCAGUUAUGGCUGGAGUGUGUCAGUGGGUGGUUGCGUGUGUGACACUUUUCAGGGCCAAUAGUCUGUGGUGUUGUGGUAGACUAUCCACCUGACCCGUCUUGAAACACGGACCAAGGAGAGUAACAUGUGCGCGAGUCAUUGGGCGUAACGAAACCCACAGGCGCAGUGAAAGUAAAGGGCUGGCUUGUCCAGUCUAAGGUGAGAUCCUGUCGUUGUUCAUGCGYGGUACCACCAAGCUUGGAGCGGCAGGCGCAUCACCGGCCCGUCCCAUGACGUGGUCACAAUUCUCGGAUUGUGCGCCGUCGGGGCGGGGCAUGAGCGUACAUGUUGAGACCCGAAAGAUGGUGAACUAUGCUUGCGCAGGUUGAAGCCAGAGGAAACUCUGGUGGAGGACCGCAGCGAUUCUGACGUGCAAAUCGAUCGUCAAACGUGAGUAUAGGGGCGAAAGACUAAUCGAACCAUCUAGUAGCUGGUUCCCUCCGAAGUUUCCCUC